rnacentral:lncRNA from 1 species
CCUCUGCCGGGCACCUGUGACUUCCCCAGGGAUGCAGGUGGGGGUGAAGUCCGAGGAUCAGCGUCCAGUGGGGGGACAGCCGAGGGCACUGGGAGUGGAGGCUUGUCGGGGCCUGAGGGUGUGUCCUCUGAGCUCCACUUCAGCCCUGGUGUUCUGCUCCCUCCUCCCCCCUUGACAGGGUCUGUUCCCCUCUACAAUCCAUCUCAGGUCCCCCAGCUCUCCACGGCUACCAGCCUGAACCGGCCAAAUCGCCUAGCUCAGCGCCGCUAUCCAGCCCAGCCGUGAUGAGAGUGACUACCCAUCCCAGGCUGGUCUCCCUGAAGCACAAUUUUCCUGUUGCUCUCCUUUCUUAAUCUCCCAGUCCCUCUGCCAUGUUGGUGCUCCCAAGAAGGUUGUGCUAGCUCAUUGCCUCCGCUGGACGUGGAGAAGGCAAGGGGACGUGGUCUCCCAGGAGACAGCUCCGUUCAGUCUCUUAAGAUUUGCUUCAGCAAGUGGUGGAAAUGACUAUCGAUGGAAAAACCGGGUGUAGCUGCAGGCGGGAGGGGAGCUGAAUGCCGUGGGGACAGUACUUAGGAUGUAGCUUCGGACCCUCGGGGAAGUCAGGGCCUAAGAA